rnacentral:rRNA from 1 species
GAUGAACGCUGGCGGCGUGCCUUAUACAUGCAAGUAGAACGCUGACGGAGGAUCUUGCUCUUCUGGAUGAGUUGCGAACGGGUGAUUAACGCGUACGUAACCUGCCUGGUAGCGGGGGGUAACUAUUGGAUACGAUAUCUAAUACCGCAUGACAACAGGUAUUGCAUGAUAACUGUUUAAAAGGGGCAACUGCUCCACUACCAGAUGGACCUGCGUUGUGUUAGCUAGUUGGUGAGGUAACGGCUCACCAAUGCGACGAUACAUAGCCGACCUGAGCAGGUGGUCCGGCACACCUGGGAUGAGACACCGGCCAGAAUCCUACGGGAAGGAGCAGUAGGGAAUCUUCGGAAAUGGAGCGAAGUCUGACCGAGCAAAGCCGCGGGAGUGAAGAAGGUUUUUGGAUCGUAAAGCUGUGUUGUAAGGGAAGAACAAGUGUGAGAGUAGAAAGUUCACACUGUGACGGUAUCUUACCAGAAAGGAACGGCUAACUACGUG